rnacentral:rRNA from 1 species
UCAAGUUAUUAAGGGUGCAGGGCGGAUGCCUUGGCACUAGGAGCCGAUGAAGGACGUGAUAAGCUGCGAUAAGCUUCGGGGAGUUGCACGUAAACUUUGAUCCGAAGAUUUCCGAAUGAGGAAACUCACUUAGAGUAAUGUCUAAGUAUCAUUAAGUGAAUACAUAGCUUAAUGAGGGGAACUCAGGGAACUGAAACAUCUAAGUACCUGAAGGAAGAGAAAGAAAUUCGAUUCCGUAAGUAGCGGCGAGCGAACGCGGAUUAGCCCAAACCAAUAAAGUUUUCUUUAUUGGGGUUGCGGACAUAUCAUAACGAAGAGGUAUCGUAAUUGAAGAGGUUUGGAAAGACCCACCACAGAAGGUAAUAGUCCUGUAUGUUAAACGAGAAGACUUUAGAUAUGAUCCAGAGUACCACGGGACACGUGAAACCCUGUGGGAAGCAGGAGGGACCACCCUCCAAGGCUAAAUACUACCUAGUGACCGAUAGCGUAUAGUACCGUGAGGGAAAGGUGAAAAGAACCCCGGGAGGGGAGUGAAAUAGAACCUGAAACCCUGCACUUACAAGCUGUGGAAGCACAUUUCUUGUGUGACCGCGUACUUUUUGUAGAACGGGCCAACGAGUUACGUUAAGUAGCAAGGUUAAGCACUUAAGGUGCGGAGCCGUAGCGAAAGCGAGUUUUAACUGAGCGUUCAGUUACUUGACGUAGACCCGAAACCGGGCGACCUACCCAUGAGCAGGAUGAAGCGAAAGUAAAAUUUCGUGGAGGUCCGAACCCACGAGCGUUGAAAAGCUCGGGGAUGACUUGUGGGUAGCGGUGAAAUUCCAAUCGAGCCCGGAGAUAGCUGGUUCUCCCCGAAAUAGCUUUAGGGCUAGCCUCAAGGUGAGAGAUACGGAGGUAGAGCACUGAAUGUCCUAGGGGGUAUUGCACCUACCGAAGACUAUCAAACUCCGAAUGCCGUCAUCUUAUACUUGGGAGUCAGACUGUGGGUGAUAAGAUUCAUAGUCGAAAGGGCAACAGCCCAGAUCGUCAGCUAAGGUCCCUAAAUGUAAGUUAAGUGGUAAAGGAUGUGGGAUUGCACAGACAACCAGGAUGUUGGCUUAGAAGCAGCCACUCAUUCAAAGAGUGCGUAAUAGCUCACUGGUCGAGUGAUCCUGCGCCGAAGAUUUCCGGGGCUAAAACUUACUACCGAAGCUACGGCAUCAGUAAUGAUGGGUAGGGGAGCUUCCCAUACGGGUUGAAGCAUGACCGUAAGGACAUGUGGACAGUAUGGGAGUGAGAAUGUUGGCAUGAGUAGCGAGAUGUGGGUGAGAAUCCCACAGGCCGUAAACCCAAGGUUUCCAGGGGAAGGUUCGUCCGCCCUGGGUUAGUCGGGACCUAAGCUGAGGCCGAAAGGCGUAGGUGAUGGACAACAGGUUGAUAUUCCUGUACUACCGAUAACCGUUUGAGAGAAGGGAUGACACAGUAGGAUAAGCUAAGCACACUGUUGGUUAUGUGUGCCCAAGCAUUGAGGCAGUCAAAGUAGGCAAAUCCGCUUUGAUAAUGCUGGGAUGUGAUGGGGAGCGAAAUUUAGUAGCGAAGUAGCUGAUUUCACACUGUCAAGAAAAGUCUCUAUCGAGGUUAAAGGUACCCGUACCGCAAACCGACACAGGUGGGUGAGGAGAGUAUCCUAAGGCCAGCGAGAGAACUGUUGUUAAGGAACUCGGCAAAAUGACCCCGUAACUUAGGGAUAAGGGGUGCCACCAUCAGGUGGCCGCAGAGAAUAGGCCCAAGCGACUGUUUACCAAAAACAUAGGUUUCUGCUAAGUCGCAAGACGAUGUAUAGGAGCUGACGCCUGCCCGGUGCUGGAAGGUUAAGGGGAUCUGUUAGAGCAAUCGAAGCAGUGAACUUAAGCCCCAGUAAACGGCGGCCGUAACUAUAACGGUCCUAAGGUAGCGAAAUUCCUUGUCGGGUAAGUUCCGACCCGCACGAAAGGCGUAACGAUUUGGGCACUGUCUCAACAACAGACUCGGUGAAAUUGUAAUUCCGGUGAAGAUGCCGGAUACCUGCGACAGGACGGAAAGACCCCAUGGAGCUUUACUGUAGCUUGACAUUGGGUCUUGGUACUACAUGUACAGGAUAGGUGGGAGGCUUUGAAACCAGGACGCCAGUUUUGGCGGAGCCAUCCUUGGGAUACCACCCUUGUAGUACUGGGACUCUAACCAUAGGCCAUGAAUCUGGUCUUGGGACACUGUCA